CUUGUUUACUGUUUAUUUAAAGAACAUAUUUUAAUUCUGAAUUUUACAGUUUUGUAUGGAAGUAUGAUACAUGCAAGAGGAAAUGUUAUGGGGAAAAAAAUAAGCUCCAAGAGAUUUGAGUAACUCAUAGAUCCUCUGUGUGCCAGUGUGUACCUCCUUGCAGCAUCUGGACUGGUGUAAAUCGUGAGCUGUGCUGCAAUACUUUCUCCAUUCCAAAACCAGUAAAAGUCAACAGUUCCCAUAAGGAAUCCUUAAAGCAUUUUACAAACUGUGUAGCACAUAAUACGAUUUUGAAAGGAAAAAAAGAAGGAAAAUAUUCCUGGCUGCAGUUGGUGAGAGUUGAGGAUGUGUCAAUGGCAAAGUGCAACACAACUGUACAAGAACUGAAAUUGGAGGGGCAAUGGUGUAUUACUAAAGAUGACACAUAUUUGACUGAAAAGUAGUUGCAAUAAUGUGAAGUUUUUCUGGAAAGUCAUGAAUACCUUAUGUGAGUGGAAAUGCGUUCAGUUGCCUGUUGCUCCACAGCCAUUAAUCU
rnacentral:lncRNA from 1 species